CCUGACUCAAGAACGCUUGAGUGCUAUGACUUACCACGUUUUGAAACUCACAUGUGUUCCAUCAUGUUUAAAUGUAUUAGGAGUAUUCAGCUACUUUCUGGAUUUAUCUUGAAUGAGAAGAGGAACUACUGAAUUAACACUCAGGCAGAAAGUGUCCUGUGUUUGAUGCUGCAGUUCAGAAGUCCUUCAUAAAUGGCUUUGAUCUGGAGAGUUUGUACUGACUUUUUCUGAAUAGGAACCAUCUCCCCUGCUCCACUCAUCGGCACCAGAUCCUGCGACAUCUCUUUUCCACAGUGAGGUAGGAUAACCUUGCCAAAGUGGAAAGGAAUUUGGACAGACUUGACAUCCAGCCUGUGCAAGCUUCCACGAGCUGGACACUAAAAUGAAGAGAGAGUUUAUUCAUUCCCAUCUCAACACAGCCCACCAGAAUUAAAAGACAUUUUAACCUACGAAGGAGAUUGGGUCAAACACCUCCCAACCUGCCUACACAGAGGAGGCUGUUCAAUUCCCCUGGCUACCAAGUCUCCACAUUUCUGUGUUGGAUGUGAAGAGUAAAGGGAAUCUGGCAGGAAUCAGGAGGCAUCCAAGUCAGCAGAAGAGACAGCACCAGGUAGGAGGCUUGAUUCCUUUUUCCUAAUAUUCUUGCAGUAUGCAAUAUAUGCAUUAUUUCUUCUCCUCCCCUUGAACUUUUGUUGAUUCCUCUUCUCCACAUCAGUGGAGCCUUUGUAUUUGUACUUCUGGAGCAGGUGGCAUGGUUGGAAUAUCAGAGCAGUAUGUAUUAGAGUGAAACCUACAGACAGAAAUAGAAAGUAAAUGGAAGAUGAAUUGAUCAGAGGAAAGGCAGAGGAUGGAGGGGAUAAAGUAAAGGCGAGGAGAGACACAAGUAAUACCUUGCCUGUGUGCUAUGGUAAUUUAUUAUUUUUAUAUGGUGCCCGGGGUGUGCAGUAUCUGUUUUACUGAACAAAUAGAAGAGUUCUCAGCCCCAAACAGCUAACAUAUUAAUUUAUUGUGUGACAGCCUGACAAAAUGAGCAGCCAGGCCAGUGUGACAAGGAAUAAUUUAGUGCUUGUGGAGCAUGAGUAACUUUACUAUUGGUACCCUCACUUGUGUAUGGCAUCCGAUGGACGUCUCUUUUGUUUGUAAGGACUUACUGUACAAGAAAAAUUUCCCUUUCAGGGGAAAUCUGCCUGUGGGGGGUGUCUUAGGGCAUGGAACAGGGUUCUGUCUGGAGGAGCAAAGAGGCUGCCAGGUCAGUACACUGGGAGGGGAGGGGUGAGGGCCUGAGCCCCAGCCUGGCAGAGGGGGAACACCAGAAAGCCCAGACCAGCGUGUGCAGGGACAGGCACAGGGGAGCAGGUGUGGGGCAGAGGGAAGGAGGGGACUCGGGAGGGAAAGCUGGAGUGUUUGCUGAGAGCCACCUCAAGCUGCAGCUUCUAAGGAGCCAUCCAGCUGGGACAGCAAGGAGAUGACCUGAACCAACACGCUCCAGUGGGAGAGGCUCCAGUGCAAACCUGCCGUGACCACAGCACCGGGGGAGCAAUAGCUGAGUUGUUUUCCAACACAGUUAUUGCCACUUAAAUUGCAGUUUUAUUCCAAAAGCAAAUUCCAAAGUUUUAUGUCCAUAAAGGUUUAGACAUAAACAAGAAAGAAGUCAGGAAAGUGGUAUGUACUGUGUAAACAGUCUCACUUUAUAAUUAAUGCUGGAGAUCAGGGAGCAGGAAUGGCUGUG